UAGGGGACGUAGCAAUACGUCACCGGCGGACGGGUGCGUAACACGUGGGAACAUACCUUUCGGUACGGAACAACUGAGGGAAACUUCAGCUAAUACCGUAUACGCCCGUAAGGGGAAAGAAUUUCGCCGAAAGAUUGGCCCGCGUUCGAUUAGCUAGUUGGUGAGGUAAUGGCUCACCAAGGCUCCGAUCGAUAGCUGUUCUGAGAGGAAGAUCAGCCACACUGGGACUGAGACACGGCCCAGACUCCUACGGGAGGCAGCAGUUGGGAAUCUUGGACAAUGGGGGAAACCCUGAUCCAGCCAUGCCGCGUGAGUGAUGAAGGCCUUCGGGUUGUAAAGCUCUUUUACCCGGGAAGAUAAUGACUGUACCGGGAGAAUAAGCUCCGGCUAACUUCGUG
rnacentral:rRNA from 1 species